CUCCCCUCUUUCUUGCUCACGGUCUCUCACUCCAGCGUUCCUCUUUUCCGCUGCCACCUUCGCCGGCCGGUUCCCGCGAACUCCGGCGGUCUCCGCCAUCGUGCUGGCUACCAAUCUCUCCAUCUCCUCGCGCUCUAUAUACUCCACCGCAUGGAUACGUCGAUCCCAUCCUCCCGUGGUUGCCCGCAUCAGUUUUCCCAAUCUAGGGUUUCGGUGCGGUCGACCUCCUUAUUGUUGGCGAUGCUCCAGCGCCUUGGUCUGGUUUGUCUCCUGUCAUACUUUCUCGUGCUGAUGUGCCUCCUGGAUGGCGCUCUUGUGCCUAGGAUGCACGCCCACGUCGGCGGGGACGGCACAGUGAGCGGGUGGGAGGAGAGGCGGUGGCUUUGAUCUAUUAUCUAUGUCCACAUGGGAGGCGACAGAGCGAUCUAGACGAGAUGACUGGUGCCGGUUUCCUCACCAGCUGCAGGUCCGUAUCUCGGUUCCUGCCCAUCGUCUGCCACCAUGGGGCCUGCUGCUUUGGGAGAAGGCUAAGCGUCACUCUUUGUGUGCAUCUAUCUUUGAUUCUUAAGUACGUCCCUAGCCCCACCGUGCCUUCCACUCGUUGUUUCAAUUGCGGCUGAUUUUUUCAUUUCUUGGUCGUGCAAGUUGACACCAUCGUAUUGGCCCAUAAUUUUGAGAGAGCCAAGGAAUUGAUUUAUUAUAUUGUUAGCAUGGGAACAUUUUUAGCAAAACAAUUGAUGGUUUGACUUCUCUAUCAAAAUUUUGGUUCGGCAAUAGAUUUUGGAAGAACAAAAAGAUCCUUUGUAGUUCACACUUUGACCAACAUCUGAAGAUGGCAAAAGCAAGAAACCUUCCAGAAAUUCAUGGUUUGACUUCUCUGUCAAAAUUUUGGUUCAACAGAUUUCGGAAGUAUAAAAAGAUUCUUUUAGUUCACACUUUGACCAACAUCUGAAGAUGGCAAAAGCAAGAAACAUUCCAUAAAUUCAUUGCUGAAGUAAGUAGCAAAUGUGCAUUCUAAUGUGUACAUUGGCUUUCUACCCAUUGUAGUGUGUAAUAGGGAUUUAGACUGUUCCACUUGCUGGUCCUGCUAUUGCACAAUAAAGACUCCAUAUAUUUGAUACACUUUGAUUUGAUUAGGUAAUUAAGUUAGGACUUCGAAGUAGUCUACUAAGAAUGGAUAAGCCUGGAUCCAAACUUUAUUCAUAGUAAUUUGGAUACUUAGAUUCUUAGGAUUUAAUGCAUUAUUCUGUGUGAACAAAAAGUACAAUUCUUCCCAUGAAUCUGUUAAUCCGUCUUUUUGUUUGUUGCAACUAACAUUUUCAACUAUACUAAUAGACGAGAACAUGAUGCAUGUUUGUCUGGCAGAGAAUUAACCUCGCUUCCUUACAUCCUUUGAAUUCAAAUACAAAAUAUGGAUGCCAUGAUAAGUGGCAGAAACAAUCUUAAUUUAUAUUAUCAUAUAUUCUAUUUCAUGAGCCAUGCAUAUUUGAGAUUUUUUUCCUUUUAGCAUCUUAGUCGUGUAGUCACUACGAAGAAUGAUUAACAUAUGUAGUUUACUAUGUUUGGACUGCACCACUAAUUUAAUUUGUCUUUGCUGAAUGUUACAUAUGUACUAACCCCUACUAAGCUAAAUCAGAUACGAGGGAACUUUGUGGCGGCAUUUACACUGUCUAAGGAAGGUGCGGAUGCAAGCUCACAUGUUUUUCUAAUUUUGUUUGUAGCUAGCUCUUGGUUACUAACUUAUGAAAAAAUGCUUACUUUGUACUAAGUUGGUAGGGUUGCUGAAAAUUCCAUUAACAUCAACUUUCUAUGUUGCUGCAUUCCCUUUGUAAGCAAAGAAACAUCAUCUUUCAACUCGGACAAAGAUUUCUUGAAUGUUGCAGACUGCUAUGUUCACCUGUCUGACACGUUUUGGAUUCUAUCGCAUAUGAGGUUGGUAUCAUGAAACAACCCAUUUUACUUUCAUUUUCAAGACUCAUGCACACCAUCUACCUGCUAAAAUCGCCGGGAAUGACUACAAGAUGAAGGCGCACAGGGUUUCUUCUCACCUUCCUCUGGGUUUUCUCUUUGAUAUCCAUUGCCUUGGGCUUUUCUUGAUUCCUUCUCUAAUAACUACGUUUGGUUUACUAGCUAAAAUGUAAAUCCAUGAGCCACUUAGAACCCCUCACGAUUUUUAGUUCUACCCCAUUAUUGUUUCGACUGCUGAACUUCUGUGCUAUUUUUGGGACUACAGUUAUCAGAACUCCCUAAGAGUUAUUACUAGUGAGAAUGAGCCAUUGUUUCUUUUUCAUGUUGGUCUCUAUCAAACCAUAACUUUUAUGUAUCGAUGAUCUGCGCCAUGGACGGCUGAUGAGUAUUCAAUAAUGACUGGCAUGUUGUGCACUAAACGUUGCACUUUUUAUGGUGUUCUUCCUCGAGGACUAUUGAGCAUUAGAGUUACCAAGAACUAAACCGAGUGAUCAUAUUAAGCAGGGACUUUCAGUGUGGUUUGAACACGAACGGCUACAAAGGGCAAGAGCUUCAGGAAAAGGCAUUGAAGAGGUGUUUGCACCAUGUUUGUGAUUAUGUCCUAUGAGUUAUCUGCAAUUAUUAACCAUAUGGUUAACUGCAGACCUAUCGCAUCCCUGGUUUAAGUCUUAUUUUGUUAUUUCCAGGAGCUACUUGCUCAUCCUGAUCCAUCUCUUUAGAAGUUACACAUGAGGUCGUGUAUUGUAAAUUCCUAAGCUUCUACUGUUGACUUACUAAUUCAGUAUCUAUAUGUAGGUGGGUAAUAUUAGUUGCAUUUCAGGAUCCUGUUUUGUUAAACUAUAGCUAAGUUAUGUGGUCGAAUCUAAUGGACUCAAAUAAAUAUAAUUUGAUGUGACAAUCCAUGUCAUAUUAUAACUCAUGGCCAACUUAGCAAGAACAAAAUUGUGAAAUGAGUUGUGUAAAGUGUUGAUCUUGGUAUUAUUUGCCUAUCUUUAGGAAUUGUGUUACAGUGAUGUCAACUAUGGAGUAAACUUAUUGUAAUAUUAUUUUUGUGCUCCAUGGUUUAGGUACAAGGAGCUGAAGGUCUUACUGUUAGAGUGGUUUCUUAAGAUGCAAGAGUGCUUCAGGUGAUUUUUUUAAGAAGGAAAAUUAUCAUGGGAAAUUUCCGUACAAAUCAAAGGGCCCAGCGAAAGGGAAUCAAUAUGUACAUCGCCAGGAAGAAGAUCCAGAAGGGCAUGGGCGUCGAGCCCUCUAAGUUCGGGGAUACCAUUGAGAAGCUAGGUUUUCUUUGACCUGGAGAAUGACAACCAGGAGCUCAAGAGUGACCUCAAGGACCUCUACAUUAGCACUGCAAUGUAAGUCGCAUUUCACUACAUCAAGAUCCUCCUGAUCUAUUGUGCAUGCCGAUCUAUUUGGCUUCGGUGUACGAGAUAAUGAUACGGUCAUGAUGUGCAUAAAACUUCUAAGGUUUGUAGGCUACCUCUGUAUUCUCCUUUUACUUGCGAACCAGUUAGUUAACUUUUAUUGUACAUGCAUUCUUUGAAUUCCGUGGAUGCUCUUUAUAUUGGUAAAUUGGUUGUGCCACCUACCAUAAUAGUUUCUUUUGGUCUAAGAACUUUUACAACAAAACCCCUAGCCACCAAAGCAUUACUGCAUGGAAAUUACUGUGACAUUACUAUGUUUGAAUUUUAUGCAGAAACAAGUCAGCGAACUGGAAAUAGAAAUAGGUUAGUUCCAUGGUUAUUGAAGAUAGCGUGGGCUUCAUACAAGGAGAUGUUGUGUUUUGACAAUAUUAAGAAAUUGAGUUAACUUAGUUUGAACUCACAACAUAUUGUACUAAAAAUUUGUGCUCUAAGAAACUCUACAUUUCAUGGAACUCGAUGAUGCCUCGUUUUGUCCAAAAUUGUUUAUAUGCUGAGGCAAUCGAAUUUGUUGGUGCAAUGCUUCAUGAUCGUUUUCAGCCUACUUGUAUUUCUGAGGUUAGAACAACUUAAUGUUGAUUUUUAUUUUCUCUUUCUCUUUUCUGCAAUACAUGCUUUUCAUAAGGUGGUCCAUAGUUGGUCCUCGAAGAAAUUCAUGACUGGAUGGAAGGUAGAGCUGUAUGAUCUGGCAGCAUUCACUUUCUAUGCUCCUUUGUCCAUUGGAAAAUAAUGCUGGGCCGAUCUCAUUCUUUUCAAAAGAACCAACUUGACAAAUCGAGAAUAUCAAAUGGAUCAUGCUUGCUGCAUAUUAUGUUUUUUACAACUUUUAUGACUGGAGGAAGGAGGACUGACUAAUUUAAUCAUAUGAAGAGUGAUCCUGGCAGUCUCGCGGCCUUGGCUUAGUUUGCACUCUUCAGAAAAGAUUGUGGGUAUAUAUCCUUGUCAUUGGUAUCCAGUUAUCUGCUGGUUGGGACUGGGUCUAUUUGUAUGGCCACAGAAGAAGCCAGGAAGGUGGGGCAGAGCAGGAGGACAAAUCUAUGGUGGUGAUCUAGUGUGGGGUGGGAGAAGGAUCUGCGUGGGGAGUGUGGUAUCUCACAUCUCUCUCAUAGUUUACGCUCAAUUAAUCCAGUACUAUCAUGUACCGGUAUCAUGGAGUUAGACAGCGACUGACUGAAUGAACUGGUGGGCUCUAUGUUUCCCCUACUAUGGUUGGAAGCAGGUCAGAUAGACUAAUCGCAGGAGCUAGGGCUGCAAAGAUGUCUCUAGGAUUGAACGGUUUACAUAAAGAGGGAGAAUGCCGGCAGCUGGGAUUCUGGCUGGAAAAGGAGCAAAUAUUA